AAUGUCCUACGGGGCGCAGCAGUGAGGAAUAUUGGUCAAUGGCCGCAGGGCUGAACCAGCCAAGUCGCGUGAAGGAUGACGGCCCUACGGGUUGUAAACUUCUUUUGUCAGGGAGCAAUUGAGUCCACGUGUGGUCUUAGCGAGAGUACCUGAAGAAAAGCAUCGGCUAACUCCGUGCCAGCAGCCGCGGUAAUACGGAGGAUGCGAGCGUUAUCCGGAUUUAUUGGGUUUAAAGGGUGCGUAGGCGGAAUAUCAAGUCAGCGGUAAAAAUUCGGGGCUCAACCCCGUCGUGCCGUUGAAACUGA
rnacentral:rRNA from 1 species